rnacentral:rRNA from 1 species
GACGAACGCUGGCGGCGUGCUUAACACAUGCAAGUCGAACGGAAAGGCCCUGCUUUUGUGGGGUGCUCGAGUGGCGAACGGGUGAGUAACAAGUGAGUAACCUGCCCUUGACUUUGGGAUAACUUCAGGAAACUGGGGCUAAUACCGGAUAGGAGCUCCUGCGGCAUGGUGGGGGUUGGAAAGUUUCGGCGGUUGGGGAUGGACUCGCGGCUUAUCAGCUUGUUGGUGGGGUAGUGGCUUACCAAGGCUUUGACGGGGAGCCGGCCUGAGAGGGUGACCGGCCACAUUGGGACUGAGAUACGGCCCAGACUCCUACGGGAGGCAGCAGUGGGGAAUAUUGCACAAUGGGCGGAAGCCUGAUGCAGCAACGCCGCGUGCGGGAUGACGGCCUUCGGGUUGUAAACCGCUUUCGCCUGUGACGAAGCGUGAGUGACGGUAAUGGGUAAAGAAGCACCGGCUAACUACGUG